rnacentral:SRP_RNA from 2 species
GCUGGGCGCGGUGGCUCACGCCUGUAAUCCCAGCACUUUGGGAGGCCGAGGCGGGUGGAUCACCUGAGGUCAGGAUUUUGAGACCAGCCUGGCCAACAUGGUGAAACCCCGUCUCUA